rnacentral:ribozyme from 15 species
UUCUUCUUCUUCUUUUUCUUUUUCUUCUUCUUCUUCUUCCUCUUCACCGUCAUCUGUAUGACCCCCCCUCCAACCUGUCUCUGCACCCCCCAAAGACGGGGAGGUAGGUUUGUA